rnacentral:rRNA from 1 species
UACGAAGGGAGCUAGCGUUGUUCGGAAUCACUGGGCGUAAAGCGCACGUAGGCGGGCUUGUCAGUCAGGGGUGAAAUCCUGGAGCUCAACUCCAGAACUGCCUUCGAUACUGAGAGUCUCGAGUCCGGGAGAGGUGAGUGGAACUGCGAGUGUAGAGGUGAAAUUCGUAGAUAUUCGCAAGAACACCAGUGGCGAAGGCGGCUCACUGGCCCGGUACUGACGCUGAGGUGCGAAAGCGUGGGGAGCAAACAGG